UUAUACCGUGAAACUGCGAAUGGCUCAUUAAAUCAGUUAUCGUUUAUUUGAUAGUACCUUACUACUUGGAUAACCGUGGUAAUUCUAGAGCUAAUACAUGCUAAAAACCCCGACUUCUGAAGGGGUGUAUUUAUUAGAUAAAAAACCAACGCCCUUUCGGGGCUUCUUGGUGAUUCAUGAUAACUUUACGGAUCGCAUGGCCUUGCGCCGGCGACGGUUCAUUCAAAUUUCUGCCCUAUCAACUUUCGAUGGUAAGGUAUUGGCUUACCAUGGUUUCAACGGGUAACGGGGAAUUAGGGUUCGAUUCCGGAGAGGGAGCCUGAGAAACGGCUACCACAUCCAAGGAAGGCAGCAGGCGCGCAAAUUACCCAAUCCCGACACGGGGAGGUAGUGACAAUAAAUACUGAUACAGGGCUCUUUUGGGUCUUGUAAUUGGAAUGAGUACAAUUUAAACCUCUUAACGAGGAACAAUUGGAGGGCAAGUCUGGUGCCAGCAGCCGCGGUAAUUCCAGCUCCAAUAGCGUAUAUUAAAGUUGUUGCAGUUAAAAAGCUCGUAGUUGAACCUUGGGUCUGGCUGGCAGGUCCGCCUCACCGCGUGUACUUGUCCGGCCGGGCCUUCCUUCUGGAGAACCUCAUGCCCUUCACUGGGCGUGUUGGGGACCAGGACUUUUACUUUGAAAAAAUUAGAGUGUUCAAAGCAGGCCUUUGCUCGAAUACGUUAGCAUGGAAUAAUAGAAUAGGACGUGCGGUCCUAUUUUGUUGGUUUCUAGGACCGCCGUAAUGAUUAAUAGGGACAGUCGGGGGCAUCAGUAUUCAAUUGUCAGAGGUGAAAUUCUUGGAUUUAUUGAAGACUAACUACUGCGAAAGCAUUUGCCAAGGAUGUUUUCAUUAAUCAGUGAACGAAAGUUAGGGGAUCGAAGACGAUCAGAUACCGUCGUAGUCUUAACCGUAAACUAUGCCGACUAGGGAUCGGGCGAUGUUCUUUUUUCUGACUCGCUCGGCACCUUACGAGAAAUCAAAGUUUUUGGG
rnacentral:rRNA from 1 species